UCAUAUGAAGAGGAUUCAGGUGUCUUGGGUAAGACUUAAAAGGGAAUCUGGUGAGAAACCAGAACUGUCCUCGCAACUGUGAGUGUUGAUGAAAAGGAAUUUCCACUGUGCUAUGUGGCAUGGGAAGGAUCCUGAGUAGAAGGAUACACGAGUCAGUAGACCUGCCUGAUCCAAUGUUUCAAA
rnacentral:ncRNA from 1 species